ACGGGUGAGUAACACGUGGGCAACCUGCCUUGUAGUGGGGGAUAGCCCUCCGAAAGGAGGAUUAAUACCGCAUAUUGUCACAUUGAGGCAUCUCAAAGUGAUGAAAGGAGUAAUCCGCUACAAGAUGGGCCCGCGGCGCAUUAGCUAGUUGGUGAGGUAACGGCUCACCAAGGCGACGAUGCGUAGCCGACCUGAGAGGGUGAUCGGCCACAUUGGGACUGAGACACGGCCCAGACUCCUACGGGAGGCAGCAGUGGGGAAUAUUGCACAAUGGGGGAAACCCUGAUGCAGCAACGCCGCGUGAGUGAUGAAGGUCUUCGGAUUGUAAAGCUCUGUCUUCGGGGACGAUAAUGACGGUACCCGAGGAGGAAGCCACGGCUAACUACGUGCCAGCAGCCGCGGUAAUACGUAGGUGGCAAGCAUUAUCCGGAUUUACUGGGCGUAAAGGGUGCGUAGGCGGAUUUUUAAGUGAGAUGUGAAAUACCCGGGCUCAACCUGGGGGCUGCAUUUCAAACUGGAAAUCUAGAGUGCAGGAGAGGAAAGUGGAAUUCCUAGUGUAGCGGUGAAAUGCGUAGA
rnacentral:rRNA from 1 species